UACAGAGGGUGCAAGCGUUACUCGGAGUUACUGGGCGUAAAGGGCGCGUAGGCGGAUAUUUAAGUUGGAUGUGAAAUCCCUGGGCUUAACCUAGGAAUUGCAUACAAAACUGGAUAUCUGGAGUACUGUAGAGGGUAGUGGAAUUUCCGGUGUAGCGGUGAAAUGCGUAGAGAUCGGAAGGAACACCAGUGGCGAAGGCGGCUACCUGGACAGAUACUGACGCUGAGGCGCGAGAGCGUGGGGAGCAAACAGG
rnacentral:rRNA from 1 species